UACGAAGGGUGCAAGCGUUAAUCGGAAUUACUGGGCGUAAAGCGUGCGCAGGCGGUUUUGUAAGUCAGAUGUGAAAGCCCCGGGCUCAACCUGGGAAUUGCAUUUGAAACUACAAGGCUAGAGUGUGUCAGAGGGGGGUAGAAUUCCACGUGUAGCAGUGAAAUGCGUAGAGAUGUGGAGGAAUACCGAUGGCGAAGGCAGCCCCCUGGGAUAACACUGACGCUCAUGCACGAAAGCGUGGGGAGCAAACAGG
rnacentral:rRNA from 1 species